UUUCUCUCACAAUCACAUUUGGCACAAACACACUUUUCAUCUAACAGAAGAUAACAGAAAAUUUUCUCUCCUCUCUCUCAUUUCUCACGAAGAGCUUCAUCACAAUUCUUGCCCAAAUUGAUGAAGACUUUGUGAACUUUGGCAAAAACUUUCGGUUGAUAAUCAUUUUGCAGGUUGAACAAGUUCUGUUGAUGAAGAACAAAGGGAAUUAGCUACCGAUUCGAGCGGCUGCAAAAAAACCUGCGAUUUCCAUAACAGUCCAAGAAGAUUGAUCAAUCGUAAGUGCUGGAGCUACAAGGACCGUCUCUCGCAUUUCCUGAAGCGAUUUGCCGCGUCUGUUCGUCAUCAUCAAAGCCAAAGUCCACCGAACUCGUCGUUGUUCAUCAAGAAAAGGUUGGAUUUCGCAUCAUGUGGUAGCUUCAAUCGAGUUAGGGAUUGUGUAGUACGUAGCUCAUAGAUAACGUAUCCAUUUGUGAUUUGUAAUUUCGUUAAAGAUUGAGGGAGAAAUCCGCGAUUUAGGUUUCGUCUCCAUUCGCCUUUUACAUAGAUAACGUAUCCAUUUGUGAUUUGUAAUUUCGUUAAAGAUUGAGGGAGAAAUCCGCGAUUUAGGUUUCGUCUCCAUUCGCCUUUUCCUUCGAUUCGCAUUAUGUAGUAAGCUAUUGUUGAAAUUGAUUAUGGAUUCAUGAUCCUGGUACAAAACCGCUUCAAUCGGUAUAUUAUUCAUGCGUUUCCGUCGCCAUUUGCUCGAAACCGCUAUCGCCGUUGAGGAACACUGGCCGCGCGAAGAAGAAGGACUUUCUGGAAAUUUCUGCAUGCUUUGAUCCGCUACCGUCUGCUUUUCGUUGUGGAUUCGUGUUUCAGUCCCCAGAAUCAAUCACCACCGUCCACCUCAUCUAUUUGAAACGGUGCCGUUUUAGGCAUUAGCUUAAGAAUUACCAGCUGAGCCAUUGCAUCAUAAUUAAUCAAUUAAUCCUAUAUUAAAACCUAAAUAAAUAUUAAAUAAUCAUUUAAAAAACUUCAAAAAAAUCACAAAAUGCUCACUAAUAAUCCAAAAAAUUCAAGGAUUUUUUGUUGAUCAUCUUUUUUUUCUCUUUUUUUUUAGAAUAAAAAACAAAUUGUUGCUUAAAAAAAUCUAAAUAGCCAUAGAGAUAUUCUAAUGUGUACAUAUUUUCAUACAUGUUACCAUUUUAAUUAUAGAAACCACAUGCUAUAUCCAAAAUAAUUGAAAAUUGAGAUAUUGAUUCCUAACUCAUCCCUGGAAUUUUUGACAUAGAUUUCAUAAUUUUUUAGCCUAUGGUUAGUUAUGUAUGAAUUAUUGAAAUUGGAUAUGUACAUAUGUGACAUAGUUUGGUAUGCUGAAUUCCCCAAAUAUUUUUCCAUGCUUCCCAUUGGCCAAUGACCCUAAUUUUUUGCAUGAAGCUUGUUUAACAUGUUAGCUAUCACUGAUAAUUUUUGUGGAUUUUUACAAUCCAUUUUCGAAACAUAGGUUUGGUAAUUUUUAGGCCUAGGGUUUAUUAUAUAUGAAUUAUUGAAGUUGGACAUGUAUAUAUGUGACAUAGUUUGGUAUGCUGAAUUCCCCAAAUAUUUUCCUAUGCUUCCCAUUGGCCAAUGGCCCUAAUUUUUUGCAUGAAGCUUGUUUAACAUGUUAGCUAUCACUGAUAAUUUUUGUGGAUUUUUUUACAAUCAAUUUCCAAUUUGAUUCAUAUUUUUUCUUACUGCCUAGCAUGUUAGAGCUCCAUUGGUGUAACCUUUAGCAUUUAUGUUGCCAUAUCCUCAUAAUUAAUCCAAUGGACAUGAAAAUUGAUAGCAUAGUUCCUGACACAUUAAUGUAGCUUUUGGCUUUGGUCCCAUGAAUUUCCAAUGAACCAUUGCUGUUUACCAUUAGAUGGAAGUUGGUGUAUAAUUUUGGACUUCAUUUGAUGUAGUUUUUGCAUGCUUGGUCAUGUUCAAUUAAUUCCUAUUGAUCUAUUAGGCCAAAUGACUUGAAAUUUAAUAGGUGACUUGUUGAAUGCCUUCUGGUUAAGCUGUAAUUUUUGUGGAUUUUUUGGAUCCUUUUUGACAUGUGGUUGGAUAUGAUCUUGCUGGUUGUUUGUAUGAGACUCAACAUUGCUUCAUUUGCCUUCUAGGUUGCAUAAUUUAAAAUAGGAACAUAGUUUGAAUAUGGGACCAAUUGGGAUCCCUUUGUAUUUGAUAUUACUUGGUUUUCAUCAUGAAUUGGCUGCUGUUUUAGGAUUUUUCCAUCUUUUUGACCCUAGGCUAGUCCUAGUGGUCAUAGUACUUACCUUUGAGUGUGAUUGUACCUUUUCAGGUUAAAGAUAAUGAUUAAGGAGAUUUGCUCCACAUUAUGGAUUGUGUUACUUGACACAUAUGACUAAUGUAUUUGUUUU
rnacentral:lncRNA from 1 species